GAUGAAGAACGUAGUGAAAUGCGAUAAGUAAUGUGAAUUGCAGAAUUCAGUGAAUCAUCGAAUCUUUGAACGCACAAUGCGCCCCUUGGUAUUCCGAGGGGCAUGCCUGUUCGAGCGUCAUUAUAACCCCUCAAGCUCAGCUUGGUGUUGGGGCCUGCUGCACUGGCAGCCCUUAAAAUCAGUGGCGGCGCCAUCUGGCUCUAAGCGUAGUAAUUCUUCUCGCUAUGGAGUCCUGGUGGAUGCUUGCCAUCAACCCCCAAUUUUUCUAUGGUUGACCUCGGAUCAGGUAGGGAUACCCGCUGAACUUAAGCAUAUAAUAAGCGGAGGA
rnacentral:misc_RNA from 1 species